GAUGAACGCUAGUUACAGGCUUAACACAUGCAAGUCGAGGGGAAACGAUAGAGAAAGCUUGCUUUUUCUAGGCGUCGACCGGCGCACGGGUGAGUAACGCGUAUCCAACCUGCCCAUCACUUGGGGAUAACCUUGCGAAAGUAAGACUAAUACCCAAUGACGUCUCUAGAAGACAUCUGAAAGAGAUUAAAGAUUUAUCGGUGAUGGAUGGGGAUGCGUCUGAUUAGCUUGUUGGCGGGGUAACGGCCCACCAAGGCGACGAUCAGUAGGGGUCCUGAGAGGAAGGUCCCCCACAUUGGAACUGAGACACGGUCCAAACUCCUACGGGAGGCAGCAGUGAGGAAUAUUGGUCAAUGGACGAGAGUCUGAACCAGCCAAGUAGCGUGCAGGAUGACGGCCCUAUGGGUUGUAAACUGCUUUUAUAAGGGAAUAAAGUGAGUCUCGUGAGACUUUUUGCAUGUACCUUAUGAAUAAGGACCGGCUAAUUCCGUGCCAGCCGCCGCCGUAA
rnacentral:rRNA from 1 species